AUUGAACGCUGGCGGCAGGCCUAACACAUGCAAGUCGAACGAGUGGCGGACGGGUGAGUAAUGUCUGGGAACCUGCCUGAUUGAGGGGGAUAACUACUGGACACGGUAGCUAAUACCGCAUACCAUCCGAUUUGCCCAGAUGGGAUUAGCUAGUAGGUGAGGUAACGGCUCACCUAGGCGACGAUCCCUAGCUGGUCUGAGAGGAUGACCAGCCACACUGGAAAUGAGAAACGGUCCAGACUCCUACGGGGGGCAGCAGUGGGGAAUAUUGCACAAUGGGCGCAAGCCGGAUGCAGCCAUGCCGCGUGUAUGAAGAAGGCCUUCGGGUUGUAAAGUACUUUCAGCGGGGAGGCGUUACCCGCAGAAGAAGCACCGGCUAACUCCGUGCCAGCAGCCGCGGUAAUAC
rnacentral:rRNA from 1 species